UACGUAGGGGGCAAGCGUUGUCCGGAAUCAUUGGGCGUAAAGAGCGCGCAGGCGGCUUGGCAAGUCGGGUGUGAAAUCCCGGGGCUCAACCCCGUGACUGCAUCCGAUACUGUCAGGCUAGAGGUAGGUAGGGAGAUCGGAAUUCCUGGUGUAGCGGUGAAAUGCGCAGAUAUCAGGAGGAACACCGGUGGCGAAGGCGGAUCUCUGGGCCUUACCUGACGCUCAGGCGCGAAAGCUAGGGGAGCGAACAGG
rnacentral:rRNA from 1 species